rnacentral:rRNA from 1 species
UAUCAGCCUUUUGGGCAUGAUUCUGUGGAGCGUGAGGAGUUAAACGCCUUCAUGCCUGCAUAUUCGUGUACUUUGGGUGUACUUGCCUGUGUGGUUAGUUAACAUCAAUUUUGGUUAUCAUAAAAUGGCUGGAGGAAUGUAGCUUCGAUUUCGAUUGAAGUGUUAUAGCCUUCGGCAGAUGUGAUGAUCGGGAUUGAGGAUUGCAACGGAUACCCUUCGGGGCUACCUGUCUGGUCUCUGAUCGUUGCUUUGGUGCCGAAAGCGUGCUUACGGUUAUCAAAGUCGAUGGUCAAUAGGUUAGAACGGGUUAAAUUCGUUAAGGAUGUUGACGUA